rnacentral:rRNA from 1 species
AAUAUUGGACAAUGGGCGAAAGCCUGAUCCAGCAAUGCCGCGUGAGUGAUGAAGGCCUUCGGGUCGUAAACCUCUGUCGGGAGGGGAGAACGGUUGCCGUUCGAAUAGGGCGGUAGCCUGACGGUACCUCCAAAGGAAGCACCGGCUAACUCCGUGCCAGCAGCCGCGGUAAUACGGAGGGUGCAAGCGUUGUUCGGAAUCAUUGGGCGUAAAGCGCGUGUAGGCGGCUUGGCAAGUCAGUUGUGAAAGCCCGGGGCCCAACCCCGGAAUUGCAUCUGAAACUGCCUAGCUAGAGUCCCGGAGAGGAAGGCAGAAUUCCCGGUGUAGGGGUGAAAUCCGUAGAUAUCGGGAGGAAUACCAGCGGCGAAGGCGGCCUUCUGGACGGUGACUGACGCUGAGACGCGAAAGCGUGGGGAGCAAAC